CGUACAUAUAUGUAUAUUUGUAUACACAUGUACAUAUAUACACACAAAUAUAGUAUAUCUAUAAGAGAGACAGGAAAUACUGGCUUUCUGUUUGUGAUGAAAUGCAAAUUCCUUAUGUAUUUUUCCAAAAUGUUUAAAAUGAGGCUUUUGUAAUCAGAAGUAUAUAAGCCCCCUUCCCCCAAAGAAAAUGAUUAUUCUACUGCCCGUCUUGACUGUAUUCUUACUUGGGGGCAGGGUGGGUGGCGUGAACAGGGAGAGCUAAUCUCUCCUUCUUUCUGACUCAUUCCACAGUCAAUCCUUUUUCUUAUUAUUUUCCAAAGGCAUGAGGACCUUCCAUGUUCCGAAACCAUUGUCCAGAGUAUUUCUUCUGGACUAUUUUCCACUUCCUUCCAUCUGACCGGCCAGCUGUUCUGCAUUUGUAAAAGCUGGUUUCUGAUGUCAUCUCUAGGCAGGACCGCUCCCUCCCUCUCCUGCACUCCUAUACUUCGUGGCAUAUCCGCCCCAAGAUAACACUUGUCACUCUGUUUUCCAAAUUCAGUUUCAUUCAUUUGCUUCACAUGUGCACUGAGCCCACUGACUUCUUUCCCUGUCUGUUGCCAGCACUGGAGACCAAGCCUGCACGCUUUGGCCCAGACCAUCUCAUUCACCUUUUAACACAGAAUCAGGGCCAUUCUCAAGCACAACCUGGGUGAGGCUCUGUCAUUGCUUAAUGGAUCAGCUGUAUAGUAACAGCAGAAGAUAAAACAUGGCUUCCAGAUCAGCUAAAGUAUCAACAAGAAUGAAAAUGACACUUCAAAGGAUUUAAGUGAAGAGAGUGUCGUGAAGAUUAUUUGUAGAGAUGUGGGAUCAGAUGAGAAACACCCUGGGACCAGAAACAGCAGAAGCCCUAAUGCCUGCCAAAGGGCAAGACCAGGGUGAGCUCCUACCCACAGUAUCUGGCGAGAGCUGGAGCCCUGAGACAGGGAUGGGGCCUACUGGCACUUGGAAAGUGUACUGGGGUCUUAGUGAACUGAUGUCAUUUCCUCUUCUCUUCCCCAGGAUUUGAGAUUUCUAAAAACAACAACAACAACAACAACAACAACAACAAAACCCUAUACAAAUCUAAAUUAGUUAAAAAAAAAAAAACUAAAGUGGUUGGAUGGGAGCUAUGGCUUAGGAAGAGAAACACAGCCCAUCAAAGAGGGACUAGGGAUUUAAAUAACCCUCUCUUCUCUCUUCCUGUCCAUGCCUUCUGUUGGGUGAAACUAGCAGCCAGAAGGCAAGGGGGCCUGGGUGGAGAUGUCCAGUGGCAUUAGCCUCCCAGGUACAGAGAGAUGCAGAGAAAGAUGCAAAAUAGACCUGGAGUAGCUGAGAAUCAUCUUGUCAUUUGUCACCUAUUAGCCAGUUGCUUUGUCCAAGGCCUUGAGCCUCAGUUUUCUAUAGAGUGGGCAUCAAACUUGUCUACCUCUUGUCUGCCUCACAGGGCCAUGGGGAACAGCCAGUGAAAGUGUUAAAAUCAUUCGCUUGCCAUUUGACCCUCUUCUUCAUCUGCAUUAUCUCACUUAAUUCCUCAACAGCCGGGUAGGGUAUAAGGCAGAGAGGCCAGGGGACAAGGACAGGCAGGCACUUUGGAAUCAGAAGAAGAGGUCAUCAACUGUGGCUCAGCCAAGCUUUUUAACUGUGAGAUCAUGGGAAACUGAAGCUCUCUGAACCUCAGCUAUUGUCUUACUUUGAGCUCCCCCAAAAUCACAUCCUGAGACAAAUAUUUGAGUGCAAAUAGUUCAUUUGGGAGCUGAUCCCAGGAUGCACCAGGAGGGACUGGGCAGGGACUCAGAAAAGGGAAGAAACCCAAUUAUUGGUGUAUUCACAAGUGGGCAACUCGGUCUCAGUGCCACAACUGUGAUGAAGACUGUGCAGGACACAUCCUGGGGUUGGUGGAAUGCAGGGUGCGGGUGCUGGGGUGUUUAUUCACCACCUUCCAUCCCUCACUGGCUGAGGGUUGUUCUUGGAAGUUUUAACUCCCUGGCCAUUUCACACUGCCUGCUGUGGCCAGAGGAGACUCAAGCAGCCAGAGAGUGCCAUGGGGUGGAGACACACAGGAAGCCACAUAGAUGCCCUCCAGCAUGGGCCAGGAGGGAAUGUCUGGGGGACCGACAGCAUCCGUUUUGUUUUUCUAAUUUGUAUGCUAGAGAUGAUGUCUAUGUCACAGGACAGUGACAGAGAUGAAAUGAUUAAUGAUUAAAUGGCUAAAUGUCUUCCAAGUGCCUGGCUCAUAGUAGGUAUCCAAAGAAAAGGAGGCAUUCAUAGUAAAGAUGGGUAAAUAUUCAUGUGUUACAGAUGGAAGCAAAUGGGACUCAAAGAAGUUAAGACAUUUGCCCUAAAUCACACAGACAGUUCUUAAAUGGCCAAGUCAGAUCUGGCCCCAGUUUGUUCCCCUUCCACUCUGCCGUGGCUACCUCCUGUUAAUGGACUAUACAUUUAGAGUGCUUUUGCCUCAUAAAGUGUGUGAAGCUCCAUAAAUAUAAAAUGUUUGUAGUCCCAGCCUUGCUAGCUCAAAUCCAAGUUAAAUUGACUCUUGGGUAGUUCUUCUCUCAGCCCCAAUUCUCAUAAGCUCAAAUAUAUAUUUUCUUAGUCCCCUGGGAUCCUCCAUUCUGUGCCCCAACAAUCCCUAACCCUUCAUUAGUAAUGCCUAGAUGUCUCCACAUAUUUCAAGGGGUGCCAGAAAGUCUCCAGACAAAAUAAAAGAUGCCAUAAAACACCAAGUGCAUAAAACUCUAGACACCUUGUUCUCCAUGUCAUGUUUCCUUUUAAAAACAAAUAUUUUGAAAUGCCCUCUUUACUAUCCUGCUGAUACACACAUAAAAACUAAUAAAAUGCACAAACUCUUUUCUUAAAAAUUGUGGGAAGAUAUACAUAAUAAAAAAUUUACCAUUUUAACC
rnacentral:lncRNA from 1 species